GACGAACGCUGGCGGCGUGCUUAACACAUGCAAGUCGAACGAUGAAACCUAGCUUGCUAGGUCGAUUAGUGGCGAACGGGUGAGUAACACGUGACUAACCUGCCCCUUUCUCUGGGAUAACGCUCCGAAAGGAGUGCUAAUACCGGAUACUCACAUCGAGGCACAUGCCUUGGUGUGGAAAGUUUUUCGGAAAGGGAUGGAGUCGCGGCCUAUCAGCUUGUUGGUGAGGUAACGGCUCACCAAGGCGACGGCGGGUAGCCGGCCUGAGAGGGAGACCGGCCACACUGGGACUGAGACACGGCCCAGACUCCUACGGGAGGCAGCAGUGGGGAAUAUUGCACAAUGGGCGCAAGCCUGAUGCAGCGACGCCGCGUGAGGGAUGAAGGUCUUCGGAUUGUAAACCUCUUUCAGUAGGGACGAAGCGAAAGUGACGGUACCUAAAGAAGAAGCACCGGCUAACUACGUGCCAGCCGCCGCCGUAA
rnacentral:rRNA from 1 species